rnacentral:lncRNA from 1 species
UGCCAAGGUAUUUCCUUGCAGGGCCAUAAAAAUAAAAUACUAUCGGAUCCAGCGGUCCCGAUAGCAGCGACUUUGUUUAAGUAACUUUAUAAUGAGUCCCAGUUCUUCUCCCAACAGAUGCCUUUGGUAUAAUAUCCUGGAGUAGUAACAGAAUAAAAUAAAUCAGCUUUUACAAACUCAUAGACACAUAGAAGGGAACGUAAACCAAUUUCUGAUCUAGUCGAGGUGCGCUGAGACUUCACAGAGUGGCACAAAGCUUGAGUGGAGGCUGAAAUUGCUCUUGAGCCGAGAAGUGAAAGCAGAAGCAAGCAGGGCUGGCACCCCUCACCUGCCCACAUCUGGCCACUGCAGAGGAGAACAGGGGAAGAAGUUUGCCACCCUGGCUCCGAGCCUCUCCUGGCAGUGUUUUACCUAGCAAGCACCACGAGAACCUGUGCUGGAGGUGGUGCACACAGUGCUAGCAGCAGAGCUGGGCUCUCCUCCAGCAUCGGGCACCCUCCCCCUGCCUGCUCCAUGGGUGAAAAAGUGCAGAUUUUGGUGCCUGUCCCUUCCAGAGCUUGCUGCACCGCACGUGCUGCCCGACCCAACAGCCCCACGUCCAGCACGCAUCCAGCUCGCACAGCACAGCCCGUUGCUCUCCAAGGAAGCUCGCUCUGGAGUUUGCUGCCGCAUUUAGUAUUCGGAGAGGAGCCCAACUCGCUGAUUGUGCUGAUGGGAUAUGAAAGGCAGGAUAGAGUUUUACUGCAGAGCAGUUGACCUUGCUCCAGAGAUAUUACCGAUACACAGCUGCUAUUCAACAUUUCAAAACACUGUAGUCAUUAUGUGAAUCUGUCUGCUAAGAGAAGCAAUUAGACUUCACAGCAUUACGAUCCAGCAUUUGAAACAAAAGCUGCACACACAGGUGGGCGGCUGGGGCAGCUCCCUCCCCGUCCCAGCUGCUGGGGGCACGCGGGUGCUGCCGUGGAGGACCCAGCAAGGCAGGGGACAAAGACCCUGCCCUGCUUCAGAGUGGGUAAGGGUGAGGUGGCAGCGUGCUCAGCUGGCUGGGAUGGAGGGUGUCCUCUGUGGAGAC